CCUGCCCUAGAGUUAUUACAGGUGUGUCUGAUUUGUCACAUGUGCAUCAGGAGGUGGCAGAGAGGAGAGAGGCUCUGCUAUACUCAGUGUUCUGACCUAUUAUAAACGGCUGAAUAAUUAGGAGCCUAACCUU